AUUCCCCUAGUAACUGCGAGUGAAGCGGGAAAAGCUCAAAUUUAAAAUCUGGUGGUCUUUUGCCCAUCCGAGUUGUAAUUUAGAGAAGCGUCUUCCGCGCUGGACCGUACACAAGUCUCCUGGAACGGAGCGUCAUAGAGGGUGAGAAUCCCGUCUUUGGUAUGGAUCCCCAGGGCUUCUGUGAUGCGCUCUCGAAGAGUCGAGUUGUUUGGGAAUGCAGCUCAAAAUGGGUGGUGAACUCCAUCUAAAGCUAAAUAUUGGCGAGAGACCGAUAGCGAACAAGUACCGUGAGGGAAAGAUGAAAAGCACUUUGGAAAGAGAGUGAAACAGUACGUGAAAUUGUUGAAAGGGAAACGCUUAAAGUCAGUCGCGUCUCCCGAGACUCAGCCUCGCUCCGGCUUGGUGUAUUUCUCGGUCGACGGGUCAGCAUCAAUUUUGUCCCUCGGAUAAUGGCAACGGAAAGGUGGCACCUUUGCGGGUGUGUUAUAGUCUUUUGUCGCAUGCGAGGGGUGAGAUUGAGGAACUCAGCACGCAUGCCCCUCUGGGGUGUGUCGGGGCUUCGGCCCACGCCACGUGCUUAGGAUGUUGGCGUAAUGGCUUUAAACGACCCGUCUUGAAACACGGACCAAGGAGUCUAACAUGCCCGCGAGUGUUCGGGUGGAAAACCCGUGCGCGUAAUGAAAGUGAAAGUUGGGACCUUCGUCGUGAAGGGCACCGACGCCCGGACCAGACCUUCUGUGACGGAUCUGCGGUGGAGCGUGCAUGUUGGGACCCGAAAGAUGGUGAACUAUGCCUGAAUAGGGUGAAGCCAGAGGAAACUCUGGUGGAGGCUCGUAGCGAUUCUGACGUGCAAAUCGAUCGUCAAAUUUGGGUAUAGGGGCGAAAGAC
rnacentral:rRNA from 1 species